CAGGGAUGCAUGAUUUUAUCAUGUGAUGGCUCCAAGUUGUCUCAGUCGGCUGCCGCUGCCUUGUACCGGAAUUAAUCAUACAACGGAACUUCAGAAUACAUAACAACGUGGCUGCGGUGGACUGAGCGAGGCAGCGGCUUCGUCUGUUCCCGACAGCUCGUUGUUGUUUCUCAAACUAGACUAUACGUUUAGAGACAGCUCGAGGCCGCUGCACGACGCGGCGACGCGGCGACGCACCGAGACAGAGACCUGUUGCUCCCCUUUCUGCUGUAAGACGAACAGAAGUGGGCGAGCUCUUUGAAGACUCCACCAUGCAGACGGCACACUCUGGAGCCUCUGAAAGAAGGAUUACUAGUCCCGCGCCGCCUACAAUCCGUGGGGUGUCGUGGCGGCUGAAGGAAAGCCACACCUGGGACUGAGCCAGAGAGGU